AAGAAAACAUCCUGAAGGUGAUGUGACAACUCGGAUUCUAAAAAUUAUACUUCAGGUAUUUCCUGAUCCGUGGUUUUUCAAAAUUGAAACAAAGUCGUUCUCAUCAGAAUGGCUUCUCCUUUGUUCUGGAAUUGUGGCACUAUAAGUGGAAACUGGUGGGACCCUGGCUGGCUUCAGAGUGGAGCCUAAUUUUUAAAGUUCUUUAGGGGAGAAUUCUUAGAUAUAAAUUUUAGUGAAAGUUCUUUGGGGGAGAAUUCUUAGAUAUAAAUUUGAGUGUUUGAAGAGACAGGGUCUUCCUGUGUUGCCUAGGCUGGUCUCAAACUUCUGGCCUCAAGUGAUCCUCCUGCUUCUGCCUCCCAAAGCGCCAGGAUUAUAGGGUUGAGCCACUGUGCUUGGCUUAGAGGUAAUAAAUUUUAAUAUUCUAUUCAGAAUAAGAAAAUAUAGCAUAUAAGCAUUUGUAUCUUUAGUAAAGUUACUGCCAGUUUGAUUUUUUUUUUUUGCAAGUUACUUAGCAGAACAUGUAAUUCACAGUAAAGAUGAUUCUGUGUUGUACCACAUUUUAAUAUUCCUGUUUUGAAAGAAUAGUAGAGAGAAAAUGGGUGGCCUGCUCAGUGAUUGCUUUUCGUAGUCUUGGUGAAUGUUACAGGAGAUUGAAUUUAUAGAUAAAAGCACAGUCAUCGUAG
rnacentral:lncRNA from 10 species